UUGACUUUAGUGGUUUCUGUUUCUAUAUGUCUUUGUUUAUGUCUAUCUGUAGGAUAGUUUGUGUCGUAUUUUGUGCGGAACUACACAUAUAGCUAAUAGUGGUCACUCCAGAUAAGUUAGUAGACGUAUAGAGUCUGCAAUACAGCAUGUGGUUAACAACCAAGUGGUUAACAAUGCCUUUAUAAACAAUGUAUCAAUAAUGUAUGGAUACCAUACAAAUAUUAUCAUGGAUAGACUACUUAUGAGAUAAAGAAGCGUAGAUAUUGGUGAAAUAGCAAUAUAAAAACAAUAGUUUGCUUAUUGCUUUGAUACACCACUUUUGCCACUGUAUGAGGCACAGUAGAAAGUUAUGGUUAUUCUACGCCACCCAGAAUUCUGUCAGAUCUGGGAUUGAGAUGUGUUUAGGAUUCAUUGUUUAUGACCCAGGGGGUAUGAGUGUGAGAGAACCCAACUCUGAGGUCUUGCUUUUUGUUUCCUGUCGAUCGCCCUUUUCCUUGUCUCCAUCACACAGCUUGUCAGAAUAACUAUGCCCGCAGUCUUCCAUUUGGAUGGCUGAAGAAACCCUUCGCUCUCCUCAUUUAUUUCAUCACCCUCCUCUCCUUCACGCUUCCAUCUAUUAUUGAAAGCAGUCAGGCAGCCCCUCCCCUUUCCUCCUCUCCUCUCCAAACCCCAGCCCUCUCACCCCUGCCCCCACCACUGUGCUUGAAUUAUUCAUGGUGGGUUGCAGCGACAAGAGGGAUUCGCCACAGCCCAGGCCCUGACCUACAUAACCCCUGUAGCCCUGAGCAUCCAUGUGAUCCGUCCCACAAAUCCAGCCAACACACAUGCACGUACACACAAUGAGAUAGACAGACCAGUCGUUGACCAGGCCCCCCCAUUGAGACCUGCCUGCAUGAGCUAACAAGGACAGACAAACUCUCAAUACCCCUUCUCACCUCCGCCCACAGACAUUCCACCCUAUAUCCCAGUUCCAUCACCCCGAAUCAAAGAGAGGCCAUCUUACCACUGCCACCGUCUUCAUCCCCAGAGUGUGGCUGUGUGUGCUCAGGGAGCCAGACAAAGGGAAGUGGUGCCUGUAAAGGAUGCCUGCGGAGGUGUCGGAGUUGCAUGCGAGGGUUCAGUCACACAGACAGCCCUUGCUUUCUCAGCCACUGAUGCCUCACACAGACCCUAAAAUGGCAGAUAGCUAAAAAAAACUACACACCUGCCCUCAAAGUGGGAAAUGUGUCAGAAUUUGCAGUUAUACUCCCCCUGGGGGGGCCCUAUGUGACAAAAAUAUGAGGCAUAUUAAUCUUUUGUUAUGUGGAACUGAAGCUCAGCAGGACCAAGAUUGCGCAGGGGGCCGAUUAAAGGGUACUGUGACAAAGGGACUAGCGUGCUAGGUGGUGGGUAAAAGAUCCUGUCCCAGUGCUUCUGCUGCACACUAGAGUAAAGCACUUGGGAGAAAAUUACCCUCACUGUUCGAUGCAGCCUUUAAACAAGGUUCAUACUGGGGACAGAAACACGGGCACAGUAGUACUGAAUGUGCAGUACGGUACCGUGCAGUACAGCACAGCACCGUGCAGUACACUAAAUGGGAGUUUGUUUUGAGUUCACCCACCUCUGACCCCAUAACCACUGAGCUCGAAGGGUGUGAAAAGUAUCACACACAGUCAACACACUCUCUGUGUGGUGUGAGACUCACACCAGGGACUGGUGCUAGGGGAGAUGUGAGACUCACACCAGGGACUGGUGCUAGGGGAGGUGUGAGACUCACACCAGGGACUGGUGCUAUGGGAGGUGUGAGAAUCGCACCAGGGACCGGUGCUAGGGAGUGUGUGAGACUCACACCAGGGACCGCUGCUCGGGGAGGUGUGAGACUCGCACCAGGGACCGGUGCUAGGGAAGGUGUGAGACUCACACCAGGGACCGCUGCUAGGGGAGGUGUGAGACUCACACCAGGGACUGGUGCUAGGGAGGGUGUGAGACUCACACCAGGGACCGCUGUUAGGGGAGGUGUGAGAGUCACACCAGGGACCGCUGCUAGGGGAGGUGUGAGAGUCACACCAGGGACCGCUGCUAGGGGAGGUGUGAGAGUCACACCAGGGACCGCUGCUAGGGGAGGUGUGAGAGUCACACCAGGGACCGCUGCUAGGGGAGGUGUGAGACUCACACCAGGGACCGCUGCUAGGGGAGGUGUGAGACUCACACCAGGGACCGCUGCUAGGGGAGGUGUGAGAGUCACACCAGGGACCGGUGCUAGGGGAGGUGUGAGAGUCACACCAGGGACCGCUGCUAGGGGAGGUGUGAGACUCACCCAGGGACCGGUGCUAGGGGAGGUGUGAGACUCACACCAGGGACCGCUGCUAGGGGAGGUGUGAGAGUCACACCAGGGACCGCUGCUAGGGGAGGUGUGAGAGUCACACCAGGGACCGCUGCUAGGGGAGGUGUGAGACUCACACCAGGGACCGCUGCUAGGGGAGGUGUGAGACUCACACCAGGGACCGCUGCUAGGGGAGGUGUGAGACUCACACCAGGGACCGCUGCUAGGGGAGGUGUGAGACUCACACCAGGGACCGCUGCUAGGGGAGGUGUGAGAGUCACACCAGGGACUGGUGCUAGGGGAGGUGUGAGAGUCACACCAGGGACCGGUGCUAGGGAAGGUGUGAGAGUCACACCAGGGACUGGUGCUAGGGGAGGUGUGAGACUCACACCAGGGACCGGUGCUAGGGGAGGUGUGAGAGUCACACCAGGGACCGCUGCUAGGGGAGGUGUGAGACUCACCCAGGGACCGGUGCUAGGGGAGGUGUGAGACUCACCCAGGGACCGGUGCUAGGGGAGGUGUGAGACUCACACCAGGGACCGCUGCUUGGGGAGGUGUGAGAGCAUGGACAAAACCUCGACCCACAACUGAAGGAAAACGGAAUUGUAUUCCACUACAUUGAAUGACAUAUUUACAUAGGGAUACUGACAUUUCAGAUCUAAUGUUUGUACGUAGCUGGACACAAUUUCACAUUGCAAUUCAGUGUUAGGUCAACUUUUCAAAACCAUAAUGAACCAGAAAUUCAUCAACGCCUAAU